rnacentral:rRNA from 1 species
CAGCAGCCGCGGUAACACAGAGGGUGCGAGCGUUAAUCGGAUUUACUGGGCGUAAAGCGUGCGUAGGCGGCUUCUUAAGUCGGAUGUGAAAUCCCUGAGCUUAACUUAGGAAUUGCAUUCGAUACUGGGAAGCUAGAGUAUGGGAGAGGAUGGUAGAAUUCCAGGUGUAGCGGUGAAAUGCGUAGAGAUCUGGAGGAAUACCGAUGGCGAAGGCAGCCAUCUGGCCUAAUACUGACGCUGAGGUACGAAAGCAUGGGGAGCAAACAGGAUUAGAUACCCGUGUAGUCCCUGUCUCUUAUCA